GUAGGGAAUAUUGGGCAAUGGUCGGAAGACUGACCCAGCCAUGCCGCGUGCAGGAAGACGGCCCUCUGGGUUGUAAACUGCUUUUAUCUGGGAAGAAAAAGGCCAUGCGUGGCAAAUUGCCGGUACCAGAUGAAUAAGCACCGGCUAACUCCGUGCCAGCAGCCGCGGUAAUACGGAGGGUGCGAGCGUUGUCCGGAUUUAUUGGGUUUAAAGGGUGCGUAGGCGGCUGAGUAAGUCAGCGGUGAAAGACUUCGGCUUAACCGGAGCAGUGCCGUUGAUACUGGUUGGCUUGAGUGUCGGAGGGGUACAUGGAAUUGAUGGUGUAGCGGUGAAAUGCAUAGAUACCAUCAGGAACACCGAUAGCGAAGGCAUUGUACUGGCCGACAACUGACGCUGAUGCACGAAAGUGUGGGGAUCGAACAGGAUUAGAAACCCGUGUAGUCC
rnacentral:rRNA from 1 species